UCUGAGGGAAUUAAUCUUUUGCAAACACGUCACCUUUGGAAACAGAACUGAAAAACACAGGGCUCUAGUCACUCUAGUGGUUUAAACUAGUUUAAAGGGCCACUGGAAUGCUGCUGUUCCCCUUUUCCUGCAGCUGUGUGUUCGCAUUUCCUUACAUAGCCCAGCUCCUGACAAGCCAGUGAAAGCAGCAGGAAAUGCAGGCUGGGGCUCUGUAGCACCCCAAGGCCAUCUGCCUCCUUGUCACCUCUUGCCUCUGGCCAAACCCCUCCUCAGCUCCCUUGGCCAUUGGCCAUCUGAGCCAUUUCAGUGCACUGAGUUGGCAGAAAACUAAUACAACAAAAGGACUCCUGGCAUCAUACGAGCAUUGGGGGAAAAAAGGACCAGGAAUAGAAGGAGGAAUCAUUGUUUUGGUAAAGCCCAAAAGCUUCAAGUAUCCAAUGGAUCAGAGACUUUGUGAUUAGGAGCUAUAUCUGAAGGAGCCAUCUUUAUCUAAAGAGGAUAAAGAAAACAAGAUAUACCUAUAGGCUGAAGGCUGCAGGCUGUUUGGAGCAGGGACUUCUCAUUGUAUUACUAAAUCCAUGUAUCAUGCCUGGCACAACCAGAGCUAAUGUGGUUUGGAGUCUGAUGAAAAUUCAGCUGCUGUGAGAAACAUGUGGCACCAACACUCUGUGAUGACUCAAGAGCUGGCAGGGAGCCCUACAGUUUUGCUGAGAUAUAAAUCAAUGCACUUUCCAAAACAAUUCUCAAUGCAGCUUUGUUUAAACUGACACAUUGCUGUCAAAAAUGGUCUGUGAUAGUCCAACAUAAUUUUUCCCACGACUGCUUUGCUGUGUAGAACUUCAUUCUGGUGUAUUCUGGGAAACUUCAGAUACCAGCUUUGGAAGAAGUGACUUUAUGGAAUGUUCCUGCAGUCCUGACAAAGUUGCUGAAUGGACAAUCACCCACAGGACAUCUGUGAAGUAAAACCUGCUGUGUCCUGCCCUGGUCUGCAGCACAAGUGCUGGGGUGGUUCUUCAGUCACAGGGCCUGGGAGAAGCAGAGAAGGUGCUGGAAGCUGUGCCUGGUGCCCUGAGUCAGAGCUGGCUUUGAGCAGGGAGACUGAGCAAUCUCUCUGUUGAGUCCUGACCAAAGGACAGGGCUUUAUUUAUCUUGCUGUUUCUCCUCAUUAAAGCUGGAACAUUCUAAGCAAAAAGUACUAAAUAAAAAAGAUUAAAUACAACUCCAAAUUCAGAGAAAAUGAGAUGAGAGAUCACUGAACACCAGACAAACCUGGAAGUAUUGAAUAAUUACAUAUACUGUUGCAGGCAAUGUUGUAUGAAAUUUAAUUCUAGGUUUCUCAUAGGUUUUAAAGCUCUGAGCAGGUUUUAUUUUGAAAUAGAAAUGAUUAAAUGUAAUUUUUCAAUAGUUUUACAUGAUUAAUG